rnacentral:lncRNA from 1 species
GUCACUUUAUAUGCAGUACGGUAUGCCCACAAAGCGGUGUCAUAUGGCGUGAUUUUCUAUCUAGGAUUACACCGGGUAUCUAGCUGUAGAGAGUUUAGGUUUCCUUUUUAUAUAAUGCCUUAGCUCCCAAAAACAAACUCCUUGCUUUGUAUAAAAAUUCAAAAUAUCUUUAAAUUCUUCAAAAUAUAUUUCUUCCCGCCAAGGACCUUUUUACAUCAGACUUUGAAAAUUCAUAAAAGCUAAUCAAACCGUUCACAUUGUUUCAAAUUUCUACAUAAGCUAGAUGCUAUACUUAAAUUUUACCACAAAAAAAUUGAACCGUACAUCUAUCACCGAUCGUUCGGCAUCUAAGAAACCCUAGCAGGUGCACAAAACCCUAACUUACAAGCACCCGAAAACUAUUUUCCUUAUAUCUCUUAAACCCAAGCUCCAAAUCACACAAAACUUGUAUAGAAAGCUUUACAACAAGAUUACACUCAAUCUUGAAAAUUUUGAGCUAAAACCUCAUCAAAUUGUCUAAGAUAUAGCUCAAAUCACAAGCACAAGUAAUUCGGGCUACUUACUACCCUUAGAUAUCAAGCGCUGACUUCAACUGCCAAUAUCUCCUUCAUAAAAGCUUGGAAUUCGAUAAACAGUAUGCACAAACUGUAGCCGUAAAAGUGUUUUCUUCAAAUCCGGUCGCCGAUCCUCGUUUGCUGUCCGUAUGCGUGCGGUAUGCUCAAAAGAGUGACAGUACGUCGAAAACUUACACCUUAACUUUGAGCGCCUAUAACUUCUUCAUAUAAACCCCAAAUGACACAAAUUUUGCACCAAAACCAUAUCCAAAAACCUAAACCUUCUGACCCUAGUCUCAAAAACUCGAAUGGUCCGAGAAACUAACCCUAAUCCCUAA